rnacentral:lncRNA from 1 species
UCUGUCCUCCGGGCCACACACACACACACACACACACACACACACUGCAUGUUCGACCGGCCGACGAGAAAGUGCAGCUGCAGAGACAGAGGCACAUUAUUUUUAUUUAUUUCCUGUGUUCUUCUGUCCUCCGGGCCACACACACACACACGGGACUGUCUCAGCUGUUAUUUUCGUUAAGGAGUGUGUACGUACAGCAUGCACGCCUCGUGCACGAGCCUACUAUUGAAGCUGCCGUUACGCUUUUGGCCUGAGGGGGCAAUCACGAGCAUAAAAAUUCAAAAGUCUGAAAAGUCCCUUUAAACAAGUAAUUUUUAUAUGUUUGACACAAAAACAAAUAAAUCAGAAGAAAUUCAGAUUUUACACACUUUGUUUGCACACGUAAAGAUUAAAACAUUUCCUGCAUCAGAACUUUAUCAUAACUAUUUGAUCCUGUACCUACUUUAUUUGCUGCAUUUUUGUGAUCCAACCAGUGAUUAAUUGGCACCAAUUGUUUUAUUAUUUGAUUUAGUCAGACUUUGGAUUUAAGGUCUUCAUGGAACUUUUUAUCAACCAUGUGAUUGAUCUAUAACACUACCGAGUUUUACUCUUAGUGUUACGGCCCUUUAAAGCCGAUGUGUGAAAUAACCAUCCGAAUUUUGAUAAAAGAUUUAUCCUUUUUUAAAUAAAACAGUGAUUAAACACAUUUUCCUAUGUAAAUAUACUAUAGUAAAAGAUGGAUGUAUAAUUGGCUUUUGUCCCUGCAGGGCUUCUAUUUUCCACAGAGGCAGAAGACCUGUACAGAAUUCAGUGGAACAGAUGUUCUGUUGAAUGUACUAAUACUGUCAGAGAUAGAGGUCUUGGUUUACAGCCGAAACCAAAAGAUCUAAGAAAAGUUACACAUUUAAUUAAAAAAUUUUAUAAUUUACAAAUAAUUUAUGACAUGUCCACCUCGGUUGACAGCGUGCAUUCUGAGCAUGAAAAAUGUUGGCUUGGCUUACUGAAGUCCAAAUGGAGGGACUCAAAUGCAAUAAAGUCUUCAACAGCUAUGCUUAAUAGCAAAAACAAAUAAAUAACAAUUUUGAGUACCUGUCCACUGUAGUGACCAU